CUACGGGGGGCUGCAGUGAGGAAUUUUGCGCAAUGGGGGAAACCCUGACGCAGCAACGCCGCGUGAGCGAAGAAGGCCUUCGGGUCGUAAAGCUCUGUCAAGUGGGAAAAAAAUUCUUUGAUCAAUAGUCAAAGGACUUGAUGGUACCACUGGAGGAAGCACCGGCUAACUCCGUGCCAGCAACCGCGGUAAUACGGAGGGUGCAAGCGUUGUUCGGAAUUACUGGGCGUAAAGAGCGUGUAGGCGGUUUGGCAAGUCAGAUGUGAAAGCCCUGGGCUCAACCUGGAAAGUGCAUUUGAAACUGCUUGACUCGAGUAUGGGAGAGGAGAUUGGAAUUCCUGGUGUAGAGGUGAAAUUCGUAGAUAUCAGGAGGAACACCCGUGGCGAAGGCGAUUCUCUGGACCAAUACUGACGCUGAGACGCGAAAGCGUGGGGAGCAAACAGGAUUAGAUACCCGCGUAGUC
rnacentral:rRNA from 1 species